CGUGCCGUCUAUAAUACGGAAACAAUUCAUCUUUCCCCGUCUAUAUAUAAAUUACAUAAACUACAGAUCGAAGAACAUAAAUUGAUGUUUUAUUGAAGAAGAAGAAGAAGGAGGAGGAGCACGUCAUAAUGCGCAAGUGAUUUCAUGGAAGCUAUUCAUCGACAAUAGCUCUGAUCCACGUCACUUGGACGGACAACAUAAACCUAGGUUCCUCAUUACUGUAUACAGUGAGAUGAUUUAUCACUGCGUUUGGUGUCAUAUGGCGAACUAAAGCCUCCUCUUGGGAAGCAUCGACUCAAGAUCGAGGAGUGGUAAUGAAAUUUCUUCGAAACAGUUUGUUAGCUUGGGUGCUAUACGAAUAGUCUUUAAUCUCUUUUUUGAGUACCCAUUCGUAAUGCGUUGUAUCACCAGGUAAAAGGUAUCAUCCUAUCAUGUUUGGAAACCAUGCAUAAAGUAUAAUGCCUACAAGCGGACCAAACACCAAAGUCCCAUUCCUUCUGGUGGUUCAGAUUAGGUAUGCCUAAAUUCAUUGCAUAUUAGAUUUGAUUAUGUAUUUUAUUUCACAGACAUUAUACUACAGUUUGAAUCUUUGAAGUCCGGUAUUUAGCAUGUUUGAGUUAUGCGCAAAGAGGUGGGAAGAAAUGGAUUUAGACUGGGAAGCUGUUCCGGAUCGGACAACAUCGAUCGGGCGGGAUGUACAUGGUGGGGAUGCAUUGGGAAGCGGAUUAGUGCGGAGAUUGAAGUGAGAUGGAAAGUCGAAAUGUCGGUAUAGUUGGUUAAGCAAAAAGUGUUCCCCUUGGCAACAAGGGCGCUGAGGUUUUAAGGGAACAAAGGCUAAUCUUCACUGGUCUAUUGAGAAGAAAGACUUGAAGGUCAAAUAAACUUAAAAGAAAAAUUACAAACUCCAUUGGAAAACGUAACUUAUCAUGUUUGAAAUCUUAUGGAAGUUCAAAUUCAACUUGGAAGUCUCAGUACCUACUAUUUUAGGAAACAUAUUUCACGCGUAUUUUCUGCCGAAAUAAUAAAAAAAAAUCCCCACAUAUUUCCAA